rnacentral:snoRNA from 1 species
CCAUAAUAAUGACUUAUGUUUUGUGUCAACCUGUCUGGGCCACAGUGCCUAGAAAACAUGG